GUCCCUGCCAUUCGCCAGGCUUCUCCAUUAAGCUCUAAGCCUCUGAAGGCUCUAUUUUUAAUUCCAAUUUUAUAGGAGAGAAUAUUAAAUUUCAAACAGGUUAAAUGACCGGCCCAAAGUGACCAGACUGUGAGGGGUGAAGCCAAAAUUCUAAAGGGGAUCUGAUUCCAGAAAGUUCCGUUUUAACCCCCUUGCUAUCAAGCCUGACUUCAGUAUCAUCCCUUCAUGUAAAAUAAUAGAUCGUUGUAAUUAGGAGUCCCCUAGGUGGGCAUGAAGAUACAGAUAAAGUUAACGGACCUACGCAUGCACCCCUGAAACUUGCUGUGUCAAUGCAGAUGUAUUCCAUGUGCGCGUUACGGUGUUUCUGACAAGCGUCCACUCAGCGCUGGACAAAUGUGAGAGUGAAUGCCCCCCUCCCAAAGUGGCCAGGACUUUUCUGAGUGCCGGUAAGGUCUGCAGUUAAAGGUAUGUAUUCUGUUCAUAAUCUCACAACCCGGAGAUAUACAUAUGUGUCCGUCAAAUGUGCGAACAGUGUGCGUGUUGAAAGUGUGAGCAGACGCCCGUAAACUAAGAGUCCUCUUUCCGUCUGUGGAAAUAGAGGGCAGUGGAGCACGCACAGCGUUUGCCUCUGGAACUCUGGUUGUGUGUGUACAGCACGAUGCUCACAUGGUACACAGCAGUGAACACAGAGCAGCCCCUCAGUUCUGUUGCUGACCAAUCAGUUCUUUCACCAGCUUCAUAUUUGCUAAGCCUUGUCCAUUAAAAGGAAACUCAAAAACUCUGCGGUGAAAGGAAUGAAGAGAGGCUGUUGCCAGAUUUGAUCGUUUGCUAACCAUUUCAAGCCUGUAGAGUUCUAGCGAACAACUGGUAGCUACUCCCAGUGACUUUUUUCCUUUUUAAAAUUUUAUUGGUGCAUUUUAGAUUUACCUAUUAAUCCCAUUCAUCAUAGGGAAUUUGUACCUGUACAUGAUAUAUCUUGAUUCUUUAUUUCUCAUUCCCCUACCCUCCCUUCAACUCUUCUUCCCCUUCUUAUUUACAAAAGCUUUGUUUCCAUUGUUUUCUAUUCUCUUUUUUUGUCCCUUCUUUCCUUUCCCCCUCUCCCCUCCCUUGUUCCUCUUCUCAUAUGAACAUUUUCUUCCCAUUUGCCAAUAUCUGUUACACAUUUUGGUCUUUAUUUACACUUUCAGGUUUUCACACCAGAGAAACAAUGUGUGUCCAAUUUAUUUCACUUAAGAGUAUGGUCCCAAGGUCCAUCCAUUUAACUAUAAGUGUGUGAAGCGCAUCCUUCUUUAUGGCAGAGUAGUACUCCAUUGUAUAAAAAAAUCCCACAUCUUCUUUAUCUGUUCAUCAGUUGAUGGACAUUUGGGCUGUUUCCAAGCUUUAGCUAUUACAAACUGUGCCGCUAUAAACAUGGUGUGCAUAUAUCGCUGUGGUAGGAUGCUUUUAAUUCUUUCAUUCCCAGUGAUUAUUAAAGGUCAACUCAAUUAAUUCUCUUUGAAUCUUGGUAGUUCACUGGAAUGAAGUAACUGGCAUUACAUAGAUGAAUCUUGGGAACAGGGGCUGAGCUACAUGGUCCAUUUCCAUUAUCAUGGGGUUCUUCCUCUUCCCCUUCCCCUUCCUUCCCUUGGCCUCCUGCACAAUUCAGUGCCAAACCCCUCAGGUGGCUCAGGGCAGGGUGCUAGACCCCAAGCAGGGUGAGGAAGGCGUCACAACAGAGGAACCGCCCGGCACUGGUGUCCAAAUCUGCGUGAAGCGGGCAGAUGGACCUGGGUGGAACCCAGUAGAACCCGGGUGAUUGAGGGUGUGCCGAGUGGUGGGUACAUUGUGAAGGAUGCUGGAGCACAGACACUGGAGUGGAGUGUGUCCAUGUAGGGAGGGAUGCUGGUAGAGAUGGGAGAUGGGUUAUACGCAGGGGGCUGAUAAAAUGAUAAAUCUAUUAAGGGUAACUGGCCCCAGGUUUAAAACUGUCAGGGAAAGGAGUUACAGGUAGACAAUGAGUGAAUGAGCCCUGAGGGAUGGAACUAGAACGAGAGACGUCAGUGUGGAUCGCUGACCUUCAUGUGUGUACACAGAUGCUAACGAGGGAACUACAGAGGGGCAGGUGUGUGUGCCUGCAUGCAUCCCCUAACUCGGUCCGCCACCGGGAGGGUCUGUGACCAGUGAUGCCCACAGGCACGUCCAGCCCCGGACCCUAGCUUCCCUCUGCUGUUCUCUAAUGAAAGGGACCAGAGUUGCUGAGAGAAGCAGCUGUUUCCAGGUGAGAGCAAAGGAAGCACGAGGUGAGCCUGGGAUGUCUGCACCCGCCUGAACACAAGGAGCUGUCCCAGCAGUGAUGGGGACGCGUCCAGAGGGCGCCAAACAGUGUGAAGGAGCUCCCUUUGGCCCACUCGGAAACACUCUGAGCAUCAAAAGGAAAUGGGGGUAAUAACGUUGCAACCCGUUAAGUAAAAAGGAUCAUGAAAAUCAAAGAAAAGUUUGAAGAACUGUUCCCCACCGGCAGGGGCCACAGGGAUCACUAUAAGCAACACGAGGUCCCCAACUGGAUCCUUCGCUGUGAAAGACAAUAUGGAGACAUCUGUGGCGACCAUUAGGUGACACGGACCUUCAGUAACUCUCUGACAGUGAGCUUGGUGUGCUCACCUCGUUCUGUGAAGGUGCCUUGAGCAGGGAUCACAAGCUUCCAGGCAGGUGUGAGCUCACUGGCACCCUCCCUGCACUUCAGGGCUCCUCACAUGGAGGCCACCUUUGAUGCUGAUGCCAGCCGCACCCGUGACAUCUCUGUUGUGGACAAGAGAACAGGAAAGGGGAAGAAGACUGCUGUCGCAGAGACAAGGGCCACUUGGACAAGGAAGACAGUGAGCGUGCGGCUGGGGAAGCUGGAAGGCUUGGAGCCAGAGAUGAGGAGUAGAGGAGCAGGCAUCGAGCAGGAAUUGCUUAAGUCAUAUUCAUUCAACACGAAGCCAAUAACGGAAGAUGAGAAACUUCAACGCAAGAGCAGCAAUGAGGAAAAACAGUCAAUUUUCAGAUUUUUACGGAUAAUAUUGUUCUACUACAUGCAACAUAUUGUUCUGACUGUACAAGCGCUAGGACCCAAAUUCCAUCCCCAGUACCAGAAAAACAAAACAAAACAUAUCGUUCUGAAAUACACCUACAUUGUGAAAUGCCACAUCUAGUUAACUAACAUUUGAUUACCUCGUGUGGUUGAUCAUUUGUCAUCUCCUCUCUUGGCAUUCUUCAAGAAUGUAAUAUGAAAUAUUUAAAAAACCAAUAGGAAAUAGGGGGAAUGAAAAGAAUUAAGAUAUGGGC
ensembl:lncRNA